GAUGAACGCUGGCGGCGUGCCUAAUACAUGCAAGUCGAGCGAACGGACGAGAAGCUUGCUUCUCUGAUGUUAGCGGCGGACGGGUGAGUAGCACGUGGAUAACCUACCUAUAAGACUGGGAUAACUUCGGGAAACCGUAGCUAAUACCGGAUAAUAUUUUGAACCGCAUGGUUCAAAAGUGAAAGACGGUCUUGCUGUCACUUAUAGAUGGAUCCGCGCUGCAUUAGCUAGUUGGUAAGGUAACGGCUUACCAAGGCAACGAUGCAUAGCCGACCUGAGAGGGUGAUCGGCCACACUGGAACUGAGACACGGUCCAAACGCCUACGGGAGGCAGCAGUAGGGAGUCUUCCGCAAUGGGCGAAAGCCUGACGGAGCAACGCCGCGUGAGUGAUGAAGGUCUUCGGAUCGUAAAACUCUGUUAUUAGGGAAGAACAUAUGUGUAAGUAACUGUGCACCUCUUGACGGUACCUAAUCAGAGAGCCACGGCUAGCUACGUG
rnacentral:rRNA from 1 species